ensembl:lncRNA
AUUCUACAGUGUUUUUAAAAGAUAUUCUGUUUAUAGAUGGAAUUUUUCAUAUUAAAUGAUCAAGUUUUUAAAAGUAAGUCUUACGGAAAAGGACAGUGUCUUUUCAUUGAUUCUGCCACCCUGGUGCAAAAUGUCAAGUCCUGGCAUGAUAUAAAAAUGAACGUAUGGUAUUUCAUGUUGAACUUUAAACUUAGCGGUGUUUGUCCCCCAAAGGCUCAUAUGCUUAAAGGCCUGGUUGCCAGCCAGUGGUGCUGUUGAGAGGUGGUGGAAACUAGGAGGGGCGAGGUGGGAGAAAGUGAUGUCACUGGGGAGGACACAUGCCCCCUCCCCUCUACUUCCCAGCAGCCUUCCAGUACACACUCCCACUUCACCCCAGGCCCCAGACAGCAGGUAUUACCCAGUACACUUAGUCUAUAUCAGCUGGACUGUUGUAACGCUGUGGCAAACAUCACAUGUCACUGGGGUUGGAACGGAACUGCUGAAACCAUGGACUGAAACCUCUGAAGGUGUGAGCCAAAAUAAGCCUUUCUUCCUUUCAGGUUGCUUAUUUCUGGUAUUAGAGAAGGCAAGUUGGUUAACAGUUGUUAUAUCAGGCUUAAACUCUUCACUACCAGUUAUUCACGAACAGAAACAAUACAAUGGCAGGGUUUUUUACUACAUGAUUGCAGUGCAUAAUUAUAUGCAUCACGGAGUUCAUACCUGCUAUUUGUGUUUUUUCAACACAAACUAAAUCACACUGCCUGAAACAACCUCUUACUCUGAAAGCAAGUGACAUGAAAAUAGAACUGCUGAGAAGACAUUUCCUCCUGCUGCAAUUUCGCCAAACAGCUGAGUACGACUGGGAAGAAUCCUUAGAUUUUAACCAGGCACAGCUAUUUCCUAGGAUCCCAAAUUGAAAUGCUGCGGUGGGGCAAUUCCCCAUAGCACACAGGGAAGCCACGUACUGCUGAUACAUCUGAGCCCUGACUGCGUGUUAGAAUCACCUGAAUGCCUUUAAAAUUCCCCAGACCUCGAGCUGCAACAGACCAAUUAGAAUCCCUGGAAUGGGACCUGGGCAUCAGUAUUUUUUAAAGCUUUCCAAAUGAUUACAGUGUGCAGCCAGUGCCAAAAGCCACAGCUUUAAACCAACAUUUCUUGGUGGACUAGUUGCAAAUGAUUUUGCAAACAUGAAUGUUUGCUGUUGAGUUUUGUAGCCUUUUGGUCUCUGCAGCACCUGUGACUCUCCGCGCACACCACCUCUGCUGCUCACUUUUGUUCCUGAUUUCCAGUGUCACAAGCACUGUGAAGGCUGAGUGCUGAGCAGUGUGCUCAGCUCCCUGGACUUGUGGACCCUCAUUGUCAGGGGGGAGCUUUGCUGGGGGAAACUACAUCACAUCACAAAACCCCAAAUCGAGGCCACUUUCCAAAAUCCAGCAAGAAAGUUUAAAACCAAAGUUAGAACCAAAACAUGAUGUGAGGGCCGGGGAUUUUAAGCUCAGUGGUUUGGCACCUUCGUUGGAUGGGCAAGGUCCCGAGUUCGAUCCCCGCUACAAAAAAAACCCCAAAAUAGAUACUGUGGAAUAUUAAAACAGAUCUGAUGAUUCCAUGAAUGAAUGUUUCCCAUUAUAAAAUAGUGCUAUUCUGAGAUAAGAUUUUUGUGCAACCAUGUAGUAAUUAACUUUUUUGAUAUAUAACAUGCUAUAUGGUUUAGAUCUAAAAUUCUCUGCCAGAUUCUCAGUGUUCAGAGGUGGGUCUUAUAGAAUGUCUGAGUUCAUCCAUUCCUGAAUGAAUAGCUGAGUGCAGGUAGGAGAUCUUGAAGGGUGAUGUUCUUGUGCUUGCUCCUCUCUUCUCUCCUGCUUGCUGACUGCCAUGGGAUUGAGCAACUGUCCUCUUUUAGUAUAUGUGCCGCCGACAUCAGCACUGAGCAACUGUCCUUUGCCAUGCUCUUCCCACCAUGGCACUUCUGCCUUGGAGCCAGCCCAACCAUGGACUGAACCCACUGAAAACCAAUCCAUGUCAAUGCAAUUAGAAAUGAAAAAGACAAAAUCACAAUGGGACAGUACUAAAAAUCCAGGAGAUUACUAGUAAUUUAAAAACAUGUUCUCUAAUAAAUUGGAGAAUCUAGAAAUGGGACAGAUUCCUACAUACAUGAAUUACCAAAACUAAAAUGUAAAAAGCCUGAAGAGUUAAAAACAGGCAAAAACUGCUGCUGUAAUAACCUAAGAAAGGCCAGGACCCAGUGGAUUUACCAGUGAGUUUUAUAAGAACUUUGGGGAAGAUCUAAUGCUAAGUCCUCAAACCCUUUAAUGAAAUUGAAAGAGUACUGCCAAACUCAUUCCUGGAAGUCAGCAUUUCUAAAGCCAGACAAGGACCACGGGGGAAAAACGUACAGGCCAAUCUCUUCAAUGAACACAUAGACACAAAGUCUCCAAGAUACUAACAGAUUGCAAAAAACACAUUAAAAUGAUCAUAUAUCAUGACCAAGUGACUUCAUCUCAGGGAUGCAGGGAUGGUCCAACAUACACAAAUCAACUACCAUAACAUCGCAAACAGAAGCAAGGAAAAAAUCACAUACUCAGAUCAGUGCAGCAGAGGUGUUUGACAAAAUUCAAUAUUUAUAUUAACCCUAAAGAUAUAGAAGGACCCUAUCUAAACCUGAUAGAAAUCAUUUCACAAACCUACUGCCAACAUAUUAAAUGGGAAAAAGCUAAAAGCUUUCCCUCUAAAAUCAGAAACAAGACAAGGAUGUCCACUAUCGCCGCUCCUGAUCCAAUAUAGUGCUCAAAACAAUUAGAGCAAUUAGGCAAGAGGAAAAAAAGGAGAGGAAGUCAAUUACCGUUACUUGCAGAUGACAUGAUUCUUUACAUAGACCCAAAAAUUCCACCAAAAGGCUCCUAGAAUUAAUAAUGAAAUUCAGUGUAUAUCAGGAUACAAAAUCACACAAAAAUCAAUACCAAGAAUACAUUCUUUUCAGCUACACAUGGUUUGUACUCCAAAAUGGACCACAUACUUGCUCAUAGAACAUAUUUAAUUGCAAAGGAAUUGAAGUUAUCCCCUGUAUAUUAGAUCAUAGUGUGAUGAAAUUGGUCAAUAGCAAAAGAAACUGCAAGAAUUUCAUAAACACAUGGAAAUUGAACACACUUCUGAAUAACCAAUGGGUCAGAGGAAAUUAAAGAAACAAGACAGUCUCUACAAUUAAAUGACAAUGGCAGUACAACAUAUCGGAAUCUAUGGGACACAAUAAAAGCAGUCUUACGAGGGAAAUUCAUAGCAGUGAAUACUCACAUUAGGAAAACAGAGCAAGCUCAAAUAACCUAAUGCUGUGAACCUCAAUCUUCUAGGAAAAAAGCAGGAAAAACCCAAAGCGUCAUACAAGGGAGGAAAUUAUAAAGAUCAGAGCAGAAAUCAGUGCAAUGGAGACUAAGAGAAUCAUAGAACAAAAAAUCAGUGAAGCCAAGAGUUGGUUCUUCAAAAAGAAUAAAAUUGAAAAACCCUUAGCCAACCUUAUCAAAAAAGGAAAGAAAUGACCCAAAUCCAUGCAAUUAGGACUGAAAAGUGUGAAAUUACAAUGGACCCAGUGGAAAGCCAGAGGAUCAUCAAUACCUACUUUGAGAAGCUGUACACCGAUGAGAUGGAAAACACAGAAGAAAUGGACAGAUUCCUAGAUACGUAUGAAUUACCAAAGUUGGACGAAGAUCUAAAAAUUCUAAACAACCCAAUAUCAAUGAAAUUGAAAAUGUAAUUAAAAACUUACCAACGAAGAGCCCAGGUCCUGAUGGCUUCACUGCUGAAUUCUACAAGACAUUUACAGAAAAGCUAUUGCCACUACUGUUUAAAUUCUUCAAUGAAAUUGAAAGGGAAGCAAUACUCCUGAAUUCAUUUCUGGAAGCAAGUAUCACUUUGUUCCCAAAAGCAAAGACCCAACCAAAAGAGAGAACUAUAGGCCAAUCUUACCAAUGCACAUACAUGUAAAAAUCCUCAAUACGGUACUGGCAAAUAGAAUGCAGAAGAUCAUCAAGAAGAUCAUGUACCCUGACCAAGUGGAAUUCAUUUUAGGAAUGCCAGGGAUGCACGUCAAUCAAGGGUAAUACACUAAUAUCAAUAGAGCCAAGGACAAAAACCAUAUGAUCAUCUCAAUAGAUGCAGAAAAAGCAUUUGACAAAAUCCAACACCCGUUCAUGAUAAAAACCCUACAGAAAACUGGAAUAGAAUGUCUUUAUCUUAACCUGAUAAAGCCAUCUGAGAAACCAACAUCAUACUAAAUGGUCAAAAACUGAAAUCCUUCACACUAGAAUCGGGAACAAGACAAGGAUGUCCACUUAUCACCACUCCUGUUCAAUAUAGUUUGGGAAACAGCCACAGCAAUUAGACAAGAGAAAUAAAAGUACUAGAUAAGGAAACAAGUUAAAUUUUCAUUAUUUGCAGAUGACGUGAUACUCUAUAUGGAAGACCCCAAGAACUCCACCAAAAGUCUUCUAGAUUUAAAUUCAGUAGAGUAUCUGGAUACAAGUUCACACAAAAAUCAGUAGCUUCCCUGUACAUGAACAGAGGAACUGGAUAAAUAACUCCUUUCACAAUAGCAUCCAAAAUAUGAAAUACCUAGGAAUCAGCCUAAUGAAAGAAAUCAAAGACCUCUACUCUGAAAACUAUAGCACUCUGAAAAAAGAGAUUGAAGAUAUCAGAAAAUGGAAAGACAUCCCUUGCUCCUGGGUAGGAAGAAUCAACAUAGUGAAAAAUGGCCAUACUUCCAAAACUGCUAUAUAUAGAUUCAAUGCAAUCCCAAUUGAAAUUCCAGAAGCAUACUUCACAGAUCUUGAGAAAACAAUCCAAAAAUUCAAAAACAAUCCAAAAAUUCAUUUGGAACAAGAAACCUAGAAUAGCAAAAGCAAUUCUAGGCAACAAAGACAAGGUACUACAAAGCCACUGUGAUUAAAAACAGCGUGGUUACUGGCAAAGAAACAGACCUGACGACCAGUGGAACAGAUUAGAAGAUGCAGAAACAACUCCAGACACACUCAGCCACCCCUUUGUCAAAGGAGCCAAACACCCUCACUGGAGGAAAGAUAGCCUCUUUAAUAAACGGUGCUGGAAAAAUUGGGCUUCAACUUGCCAAAGAUUCAGCCUAUACCUUUAUUUCUCGCCAUGCACUAAACUAAAAUCAAAAUGGAUUAAAGAUCUAAAUAUGAAAACAAACACUAAACUUGCUGUAAGCAAGGUUAGGGUAGAACUCUUGACAUUGGUGUAGGAAAAAAUGUCAUGAACAAAACCUCAGCACGGAAUCAAGAGAGGGAUUUCUUAUUAAAAAGCUGCACAGCAAAAGAAACCCGAAUGAACAGACAAUCCAAAAUGUGGGAAAAAUUUAGCUGUUCCUCAAAGGUCUAUUUAGAACUUUAAAAAAAUCAAACCUCCCAAAUUUAAAGACCCAGUCCAUAAAUGGGCAUCUGAAAUGAACAAACAUUUCUCAAAGAAGUAGAAAUAGCAAAUAUAUGGAAAAAAAAAUGUUCAACAUCCCUGGUCAUUUGAGAGAUGCAAAUGAAAACACCUGAGAUUCUGCCUCACCCCAGAAAGAAUGGCUGCUAUCAAAUCAACCAGUAACAAAUGCUGGCAGGGCUGUUGGGAAAGAUAAACCCUUUUCCAUUGUUGGUGGGAGUGUAAACUGGUGCAGCCACUGUGGAAAUCAGUACAGAGAUACCUCAAAAAACUAGGAUUGACCCAUUUGACCCAGCUAUUCCUUGCUGGGUAUCUUCCCCAAAGAAUUAAAAGAAUCAUACCACAGCAAUAUUUGUCCACCCAUGUUUAUAGUGGCAGAGUUUGUAAUACCUAAAACUUGGAAACAGCACAAUUGCUCAUCAACUGGAAACUGAAUAAAUUUUUUUAUAGAAUCGAGUACUAAGCCAUAAAGGACACUAGAGACAUAACUAAAUGAAUGCACAUUGAAGCGAUACUCAAGUGAAAUAGGACACACGUGUAAACACUGAAUAGUUUCUGUGAGAAACUGAAAGUGUAAAUAAGGAUCAAACUGUAUGAUGUGAAAUAGGAAGAAAAGGGGCGAAGGAGAAGUAUAAGGGGUGGGGGAAAGGAAAGAAGUCUUUGUAAAUAGGGAAAGGUGGAGGGAUUUUGAAGGGAGGCCAGGGGAAUGGGGAAAAAAUAACCAAGGUAUAUUAUGUAAAGGUACAAAUUCCCUAUAAUGAAUGUGCCAGCAAAUUGUUAUACCUAAACUGUACCAAUAAAAUUAAUGAAAAAAAUCAACAUUCUUCAGUAAACUAAUUGUGACAGAAACUGGGAAAAUACCAUUUACAACAGCAUCAAGCAAAACUGAACACUUGGGAAUUAACCUAACCAAAGAAGUGAAAGACCUCUGAAAUAGUACAGUAUUCUGAAAAAGGAUCAAAGUACCACAUCAGAAAAUGGAAAGAGAUCCCCUGUUCCCGUACAGGCAAAACCAAUGUUGAAGUGGCCAUAGUACCAAAACUGAUAUACAGAUUUAACACAAUCUUAAAAUACCAACACUUUUUUCACAGAACUAGAAAAAAGCAGUCCUGAUAUCCCAUAUGCAACAAGAGAAGACCUAGACUAACAGAAGGAAUCCCGGGGAAUAAGAGCGAAGUGGGAGCAUCACAAUCCCGGAUUUCAAGUUAGAGGAUGCAGGUGUACAACCCAAGGCAAGUUUAGCCAUCUGCUCUUUCACGAAGAGCCCAAAAACAUUCACUGGAGGAAAAGAGCCUCUUUAAUGUUGCUGGGGAAACUGCCAACCACAUGCAGAAGAUUGAAUCUAGACCCACAUCUCUCACCAUAUACUAAUCUAAAAUCAGAAAUAGAAAUGUUAAAAACAAGUCUGCUGAAAGAUAAAAUAGGUAAACCUCUCGGACAGGCAUAUAGGCAAGAACUUUCUGAACAGAACCCUAAUUGCACAAAAAAUAAAGUCAACAAUCAACAAACGAGAUCAUAUCAAAUUUUAAAAAGCUUCUGCACAGCAAAGGAAACAGAGUGAAGAGACAGCCUCUACAGCAUGGGAAAAAUAUUUCACCAGCUGCACCUGAGACAGGAUUAAUAUGCAGACCAGUGAUGGGGGGAACCUUUUCCAGCUUUCAAUGAUACAGCCUGCUAUGGCACGUGCUAUAGGUUCACCACUGAUCUUGAAUAGAUCUCAGAAUGAGAAGUACAAAUGGCCAACAAAAUACAUGAAAUACUUCACAUCACUGCCCUUCAGAGAAAUGGAAAGUGAAACAACCCUGAGAUUCCAUCUUUCUCCAGAAAGAAUGGCUACACGGCUGGCGGGAGUGUAAGCCAGUUGUAACUACUAUGGAAACUAUGGAAGUUCCUUUAAAAACUAAAACUAGAAAUUCCAUUAAACAGAAACAAAAUUUAAAGGAUACAUUCAGUUAUCAGAAUUUUAAGAUGACCUUCAAAGAGUAGCAUGCAUUUCAAGCGCUUUUCUAUCAUUUCCCGAAGGCUGCUGCCAGUCAGCUGUACACAGGGCGCUCAGCAUUUCCCUUCAGUGAUCCCAAUGGACCCUGUAAAAGGAUCGGCGCAAGGCAAAUGGCAGUGAGGUCUCGCUGCCUCUUCCCCAUAUUUUCUCAUAAGUGAGGCGGAGUGAGCUCUGUUCACUCCAGAAUAAAAGCAAGAAAGACAAUCCUCAGAGCUGUGUGGUUACAGGGGUCAUGCACUGCAAACCCUAAAGGCAACCCUACAACAUGCCCUUCCCUCUCUGACCUCUUUAUUAGCCAGCAACUGUGUAUAUUUAUCACUAAACUGAAUGGGGAAUAGUGUGCUAACAUUAGCACAGUGUCUAUACAAUGGAAGGUAGUAAAUGCUACUUUGUUUUCCUUUUUUGUGGGGCGUGAGGGUGAGAGUUAACUCAGCUGUUACAAAGCCACAGUUCUCGAAGUGGCUGGGUAUCGCUCUAGCAUAAGGAUUUAGGGGUAAAGAGCAGUUAUUUCCAGCUGCCUGGUCCAAGCUGAUCUACAAUAACAUGACUAUUACUUUAUUAAUCUGUUCACUAUUUCACGAGUGUAAUGCCCAUAACGCCAGGUUGGGUUACCAGUGUAGUUAGCUGCACUAAUUAGUUGAACCUCAUAGACGAGUACUUGGAGUUUUCACAAGGUGACAUGUAAGUUAAUGUGCAGUGUCUACAAAUUCCAAAUGCUGCCUCUUGCAAAUCUACAACAUAACUUUGUGCUUUCCAAAUGACCAUCUGGAGACACUUGCACGAGGAGACACCGCGAGUCCGACAGCACCAGCCCUGGUGUUCGCUGGGCACUCGAGGCCCCAGGUGGACCCCGGGCUGCAGGCCCAAGCUCUAGAGGGAAGGAGGGCCGAGGCUGGCCUUCCUGGGACCCGGAAGCUUCCGUGAAUGCGGUGGGAGGCAAACGAAGGAGUCCCGGGCCUGCCUGGUCCCUGUGCCUGCUGGUGCUAGGCGGGGUGACAGAGCCCACCCUGAGGGCCGCCCGGGGUCACACAGCGCACCCCUGGGGGGCUGCGUCCGGAGUGGCCGCGGGGGCCGUGGCUAGACGGGAACGAUUCGCUGGAGGAUGAGACGCGUCCUCCGCCCCCGACCCGUGUGGUCACCGGACCCCGAGCGGAAGUGGCGUCCUUGCAGUCACUCGCGGACCGACAGA